GAUCAAGAGGAGGUUAUGUUUAAAUAAAAAUCAUAAAAAUUAAUUGAUUUUUGAUUGAGUUAGGGACCAUUUUAUAAUAUUAUACGUUAGCUAUGGAAUUUAAAGUUGAAAUUAAAGAAGAGUUUCUUGAAUAUAACCAAAAAGAUACAGAUAGCCAGCUAAACACAUCCAUAGAUCUAGAAAACUUCAAAAUAGAACUAGAAGAUAACUCAGAAAUGGGACUAAAAGCUGUAAUUAAAGAAGAGUUUGCAGAGGGUUGUCAAGGAUUUAUGGAGAGUCAGCUAUAUACAUCUCCAGAUAUUAAAUACUUCGUUAAUAAAGAAGAUAAAGAUAACUCAGGUUUUUCUCAGAACGAAAUGGAAAUUAUGAAAACUGAACUUGCAUGCACAACGGAACAACAAAAAACUGAAGAAACAACAUUAAAUAAUUACAUUUGUGAAAUUUGUUUUAAGCAAUUUAACCACAAAAGGUCUUUGAAACGACAUAUAAAAACGCACACUAAAGAAAGGCUUUAUAAGUGUGAAAUUUGUUUUAAGCAGUUCAGUGAAGCAGGUCAAUUGAAAAGACAUUUGCGAGUGCACACUAAAGAAAAACCUCACAAGUGUGAAAUUUGUUUUAAGCAAUUUAAUGAAGCAGGUAACUUAAAAACACAUUUGAGAGUGCACACUGGAGAAAAACCUCACAAGUGUGAAAUUUGUUUUAAGCAGUUUAUUACGGCAAGUGAGUUGAAAGUACAUUUGAGAGUGCACACUGGAGAAAAACCUCACCAGUGUGAAAUCUGUUUUAAGCGGUUUAGUAGAGCAGGUGAUUCGAAAAGACAUUUGCGAGUGCACACUGGAGAAAAACCUCACAAGUGUGAAAUUUGUUCUAAACAAUUUAGUGAAGCAUAUACUUUAAAAGAACAUUUGAGAGUUCACACUGAAGAAAAUCCUCACAAGUGUCAAAUCUGCUUUAAGCUAUUUCUUACAGCAGGUCAUUUGAAAAUACAUUUGAGAGUGCACACUUGGGAGAAACCUCACAAGUGUGAAAUUUGUUUUAAGAAAUUUAUUACGGCAAGUGAGUUGAAAGUACAUUUGAGAGUACACACUGGAGAAAAGCCGUUUAAGUGUGAAAUUUGUUUUAAGCAAUUUAUUAUAGCAGGUCAUUUGACAACACAUUCAAAAGUGCACACUGGAGAAAAACCUCACAAGUGUGAAAUUUGUUUUAAGCAAUUUAAUCAAAAAAGUACUUUAAAAAGACAUUUGAGUGUGCAUACUGGACAAAAACCUCACAAGUGUGAAAUUUGUUUUAAGCAGUUUAUUACAGCAGGUGUUUUGAAAGUACAUUUGAGAGUGCAUACUGGAGAAAGACCUCACAAGUGUGAAAUCUGUUCUAAGCAGUUUAUUACAGCAGGUCAUUUGAAAGUACAUUUGAGAGUGCACACUGGAGAAAAACCUCACAAGUGUGAAAUUUGUUUUAAGCAGUUUAGUGAUCCAAGUCAUUUAAAAACACAUUUGAGAGUGCACACUUGGGGAAAACCUAACAAGUGUGAAAUUUGUUUUAAGAAAUUUCUUACGGCAAGUGAGUUGAAAGUACAUUUGAGAGUACACACUGGAGAAAAGCCGUAUAAGUGUGUAAUUUGUUUUAAGCAAUUUAUUAUAGCAGGUCAUUUGACAAGACAUUUAAAAGUGCACACUGGAGAAAAACCUCACAAGUGUGAAAUUUGUUUUAAGAAAUUUAUUACGGCAAGUGAGUUGAAAGUACAUUUGAGAGUACACACUGGAGAAAAGCCGUAUAAGUGUGAAAUUUGUUUUAAGCAAUUUAUUAUAGCAGGUAAUUUGACAAGACAUUUAAAAGUGCACACUGGAGAAAAACCUCACUAGUGUGAAACUUGUUUUAAGCAAUUUAAUCAAAAAAGUACUUUAAAAAGAUAUUUGAGAGUGCAUACUGGACAAAAACCUCACAAGUGUGAAAUUUGUUUUAAGCUGUUUAUUACAGCAAGUGUUUUGAAAGUACAUUUGAGAGUGCAUACUGGAGAAAGACCUCACAAGUGUGAAAUCUGUUCUAAGCAGUUUAUUAUAGCAGGUCAUUUGAAAACACAUUUGAGAGUGCACACUGGAGAAAAACCUCACUAGUGUGAAAUUUGUUUUAAGCAAUUUAUUACGGCAAGUGAGUUGAAAGUACAUUUGAAAAUACACACUGGAGAAAAGCCGUAUAAGUGAAAUUUGUUUAAAGCAAUUUAUUAUAGCAGGUCAUUUGAAAACACAUUUGAGAGUGCACACUGGAGAAAAACCUCACGAGUGUGAAAUUUGUUUUAAGCAAUUUAUUACGGCAAGUGAGUUGAAAGUACAUUUGAAAGUACGCACUGGAGAAAAGCCGUAUAAGUGAAAUUUGUUUAAAGCAAUUUAUUAUAGCAGGUCAUUUGAAAACACAUUUGAGAGUGCACACUGGAGAAAAACCUCACGAGUGUGAAAUUUGUUUUAAGCAAUUUAUUACGGCAAGUGAGUUGAAAGUACAUUUGAAAGUACGCACUGGAGAAAAGCCGUAUAAGUGAAAUUUGUUUAAAGCAAUUUAUUAUAGCAGGUCAUUUGAAAACACAUUUGAGAGUGCACACUGGAGAAAAACCUCACGAGUGUGAAAUUUGUUUUAAGCAAUUUAUUACAGCAAGUCAUUUGAAAACACAUUUGAGAGUGCACACUGGAGAAAAACCUCACGAGUGUGAAAUUUGUUUUAAGCAAUUUAUUACAGCAAGUGUGUUGAAAGUACAUUUGAGGGAGAAAAACCUCACAAGUGUGAAAUCUGUUUUCAGCGGUUCAGUCGAGCACAUCAUUUAAAAACACAUUUGAGAGUACACACUGGAGAAAAACCUUACAAGUGUGAAAUCUGUUUUAAGCAGUUCAGUGAUGCAAGUAAUUUAAAAACACAGUUGAGAGUGCACACUGGAGAAAAACCUCACAAGUGAAAUUUGUUUUAAGCAGUUUAUUACGGCAAGUGAGUUGAAAGUACAUUUGAGAGUGCACACUGGAGAAAAAUCUCACAAGUGCAAAAUUUGUUUGAAGUAAUUUAGUCAAAUAGAAACUUUGAAAAAGCAUUUGACAAUGCACACUGGAGAAAAGCCUUAUAAGUGCGAAAUUUGUUGUAAGCAGUUUUCUCAGAAGGUUCAGUUAAAUGGUCAUUUAAGAUUGCACACUUGAGAAACGCUUUACAAGUGUGAAAUUUGUUUAAAGCAGUUUACUCAGAAAGCUCAUUUAAAUGUUGAUUUAAAACUGCAUACUUGAGACAAGUCCUAAAGUGUGAAAUUUGUUUUAAGCAGUUUAGCCGUGCAACUACUUUGAAAAGACAUUUGAGAGUACACACUGGAGAAAAACCUCAAGUGUGAAAUUUGUUUGAAGCAAUUUAACCAAAUAGUUUCUUUGAAACGACAUAAUAAAACGCACCCUAGCGAAAAGCAUUACAAGUGUGAAAUUUGUUUUAAGUAGUUUAGUCUAGAACAGAGUUUGAAAAUACAGUGUGAAAUUUAUUUUAAGCAGUUUAGCCGAGCAACUACUUUGAAAAGACAUUUGAGAGUGCACACUAGAGAAAAACCUCACAAGUGUGAAGGCAUUUGUUUUAAGCAGUUUAUUAGUCAAAAAUAUCAUUUGAAAAGUCCUUUGGGAGUGCACACUGAGAAAAUUGCCUCACAAGUGUGAAAUUUGUCUCAAGUAGUUUACACAAACAGGUCAUUUGCACACUCAUUUGAGAAUACACACUACAGAAAACGUUAAUUUCGUCUAAUAAGUGGCCUGUGUUUUUAGUUUUGUAUAUAGCCUCUUAGAGGGCGCCGCCAAUAAAACUUUCGGACACGAACGUAACCUCAAUCUUUUGUUGACAUAAAUCGAGAGUUUUAUUGCGAUACAAUAAGUCAUGUAGAUACAAUGAAUUUUUGAAAUUAGCAAGUCGGUCAAAAAUGGAUCUUAGCCGAGAACAUUUUCGAGCAAUAAUUUUUUACAAUUUUUGGAGAGGAUUAUCCCAAAUGCCAUGUCACGCUGAAAUGGUUUCUGUGUUUGGGAAUGAAGCAUCACACCAGUCAACUAUUUCCCGCUUGUAUUGCGAAUUUCAACGUAGUCACGCCAGUCUCAGCGACGAAUCCAGGCCAGGUCCACCCAAAACAGUCACACAGCAAAACGUUGAUGCGGUUCGUCAGCUAAUUAAGGAUAACCGAUGUGUAAUAUACCGGGAGAUAGAGGCCUCUUUGGGCAUUUCAAAGACCUCGAUCCAAAAGAUCCUACAUGAAGAACUGGGUGUUAGGAAGUUGGCUUGCGUUUGGAUCCCUCAUUUGCUUACAGAAGAGCAAAAAGCAGUUCGCGUCAAUUGGUGUCGAAAAACAUUGGAACGGUUCAACAAAAGAAGCUCAAAAAACGUUUAUAGUAUUGCUAGUGGCGAUGAAUCUUGGGUUUACUCCUACCAACCGGAAAAUAAGCGCUAAUCCGCUGCGAGUGUUUCACGAUGAGGUAAAACCAACAAAAGUGAUCCGUUCUCGAAGUGUGUCAAAGAAAAUGGUUGCAACUUUUAUGUCAAAAUCUGGUCAUGUGGCAACAAUUGCUGUAGAAGAUUGAAGAACGGUUACUUCCUGAUUGGUAUAUAACCCUUUGUUUACCAGAAGUUAUCGCGAAACUCCGACAAAGCAGCAACACACAACGGCGAAUCAUCUUACGUCAUGACAAUACAAGUGCCCAUACUGCCCAUAAGACAAAAGAGUUUUUGGACCUUCAAAACAUCGAAUUGUUAAACCAUCCACCGUAUAGUUCCGACCUAAGUUCCAACGACUUCUUCACGUAUCCAAAGAUUAACAAUUCAAUGCGUGGGCUGCGAGUCCAGUCGCCAGAAGAAGUCAUCGAUGCCUUUAAAACAGCGAUUUUGCAGGUGUAAACUGAAGACUGGAAUAACUGUUUUACCGAUUGGUUUGAACAUAUGCAAAAGUGUAUCGAUCUUGGUGGGACAUAUUUUGAAAAGUAAUAAAGUAGUUUCAGUUUAAA
rnacentral:misc_RNA from 1 species